rnacentral:rRNA from 1 species
AACGAACGCUGGCGGCAUGCCUAACACAUGCAAGUCGAACGAGACCUUCGGGCCUAGUGGCGCACGGGUGCGUAACGCGUGGGAACCUGCCCUUAGGUUCGGAAUAACUCCCCGAAAGGGGUGCUAAUACCGGAUAAUGUCUUCGGACCAAAGAUUUAUCGCCUUUGGAUGGGCCCGCGUUGGAUUAGCUAGUUGGUAGGGUAAAAGCCUACCAAGGCGACGAUCCAUAGCUGGUCUGAGAGGAUGAUCAGCCACACUGGGACUGAGACACGGCCCAGACUCCUACGGGAGGCAGCAGUGGAGAAUAUUAGACGAUGGGCGAAGGCGUAGUCCAGCAAUGCCGCGUGAGUGAUGAAGGCCUUAGGAUUGUAAAGCUCUUUUACCCGAGGUGAUAAUGACAGUACCGGGAGAAUAAGCUCCGGCUAACUCCGUG